AUAGUUUUCUCCAGCCAAUUUUGUUGGUGUUGAUUGGUAAAAGUUGUAACAAGUCCACGCAAGCUCCUCUGCAAGCGAAAGAAAUUUUUUAGAGUCAGCGGGAUCAUAACCAGAUGAUCCUAAAGCUAUCAUUCCUGGAGCAAAGCAUGCCAAUUCAUCCAUCUUGUCCGCAAGUGCAUCUCCACUCUUCUCACAAAUGUAUGUGAAAGAUGAUGGCGUUGUUUUCCUAACCAAGCUUAGUAAGCCUUUCAUUGAUUUCUCCCACAUUUCUCUAUAAUGUCUGACGGCUGAAGUUUUGUUCCCUUGAAUCCAAACUUUGAGCAAAUAUUCAUAGAAGCUGUCACCCAUUGCACCAAAAGUUAUGGUCGAGUAUCCAGUUCCCCUAUCAGGAUUAAUAUAGAUUGGAAGCAAACCAUCAUCAGGAAAGGUCUUAUUAAGCUGCAUUAUAACCUUCUCUGCCUUCAGCUGAUAUUUUGGAUCUCCACUCCUUUGAGAAAGAGCAAUAAAUUCAAGCUGCUCUGUGCCAGAAUCUGCAAGAAUACUGUCACCACCAGUCCAUCCAGGGUUAUGUGCAUUUCCAUGUGCCAAGUUAAUGAUGUUGUAAGGGAUCCCAGUAUUCGUAUUCCAUGCAGGCAACAAUCUAUCUGCAAUAUCUUUGGCCUUUUCCAGGAAAACUGUGUCUCCUGAAAGAUCGUAAGCACUAAGCAGUCCACCUACAACUCUUAUGGUUGUCUCA
rnacentral:misc_RNA from 1 species